rnacentral:rRNA from 1 species
CCUACGGGCGGCUGCAGUGGGGAAUAUUGCGCAAUGGGCGAAAGCCUGACGCAGCGACGCCGCGUGAGGGAUGAAGGUUUUCGGAUUGUAAACCUCUGUCAGCAGGGAAGAACGGUCACUGUGCUAAUCAGCAGUGAAUUGACGGUACCUGCAAAGGAAGCACCGGCUAACUCCGUGCCAGCAGCCGCGGUAAGACGGAGGUUGCGAGCGGUAAUCGGAAUUACUGGGCGUAAAGCGCUCGUAGGAGGUAUGUCAAGUCAAGGGUGAAAUCCCCGCGCUCAACGUGGGAACUGCCUUUGAAACUGGCAAACUGGAGUGUGGGAGAGGAUAGUGGAAUUCCAGGUGUAGGAGUGAAAUCCGGAGAUAUCUGGAGGAACAUCAGUGGCGAAGGCGACUAUCUGGCACGUAACUGACGCUGAGGAGCGAAAGCGUGGGGAGCAAACAGGAUUAGAUACCCGUGUAGUC